AGAUCGCCAACUGGAGGAAGGUGGGGAUGACGUCAGGUCAUCAUGGCCCUUACGGCCAGGGCUACACACGUGCUACAAUGGGGCGCACAGAGGGCAGCAAGCGCGCGAGUGCAAGCGAAUCCCUUAAAACGCCUCGUAGUCCGGAUCGGAGUCUGCAACUCGACUCCGUGAAGUCGGAAUCGAUAGUAAUCGCAGAUCAGAAUGCUGCGGUGAAUACGUUCCCGGGCCUUGUACACACCGCCCGUCACACCAUGGGAGUGGACUGCACCAGAAGCGGUUAGUCUAACCUUCGGGAGGACGAUCGCCACGGUGUGGUUCACGAACUGGGGGAAAUCGUAACCAAAGAACCCUACUC
rnacentral:rRNA from 1 species